GCUGACCCAGCAUAGACGACUGACUGUUCAAGGAACUGAAGCAGUGGACAGCUUGCUGUGAAAGAUGGGAGCAUUGUUCCUCUGGUCUGGACAAGCCCAUAUUAAGUGGGAGAUGUUCAAUAUCAACUCGAUGAGAGGCAGCAAAUGUGGAAAUGGACGCAAGUCAAGGACAGCUGCAGACAGCAUAAUAACGAAACUGAUACAACGAUUGCGCUGAAUCACCGAAGAUAUGAGCCAGAGUGCGAACAGUAUACUCGUACAGUUUGGCAGAAUAAAC
rnacentral:lncRNA from 1 species